GGGACUCGUCCGGAACGCCCGCAAACAAACCACUUCGGAUUCCUCCGUCGACGUCGUACUUGGGAAUCGUUCAAUAAAUUUUGGACGAGUGAAUGCCAGCCCACACCGUCCUCUUCUUUUUCCUCUUUUGGAAUCGGUUUAUCUCCUCGAUCGCUUCUCUCCCACCCCAUACAGCGCCUAUAGGGUUCGCAGUCUUAUCGGGAUCCAGCAUUGGAGCGUUUGCAGGCGCAGGUUCUCCAGCGAAACUCGCCACUUUUCUCGCUUCAGGAUCGCCAGUCUCCACAGUUCUAGGCUUCCAGACCGCGUGAUCGUGGAAAAUAUAGCCCAUCUACCACGACCAACUUCUGGCUGUCGAUUGACAGGGCUGAGGCAGAUAGCAAUCCUUGUCAGCAAGCUUUCUUAUGGAGUGAGAUGCCCCAACUUGCUAGAAGAAUUGAGGAUGAGUUUAUCAUGUUUAUACUUACCCGUGGAACUACGAGAAGAAAGAAGAGAAAAAUAUUUUGCUCUUUUUGCGUGCAAGUUGGCAUGGGAGGUGUUGGAAAAAUAUUAUUCGGAUGCUUGCGGAUAUUUCUUGCUCGAGAGUGACUUUGCAUUGUUCGUGGCAUUGCUCAUCAACAUCACAGUGGUCAGUCUCCGGAUCUGUGUGCGCUUCCACUGAUCUCUCUAUUGAAGACUCCAAUAGAUGCAGCGAUUUGACCUUGAACUCUGCGUCUUUAUUGCUCAAGAAUGUGCUGGGCAAAUCAAGCUCCAUUAGUUAUGGAAUCUCUUUAUUGGCCUCUGGCCAAAGCUCUACAAUCACAGGCACGUACACUGACCAAUAUAUCAUGCAGUGUUUUCUAGACAUCAAAAUGAGAAUAUGGUUGCGAAACCUUGUGACUCGAUGCAUCGCAAUCUGUCCCAGUCUUUUCGUAGCCAUUAUUGGAGGAACAGCAAGAUCAGGGAGGCUUAUAAUCAUAGCAUCGAUGAUCCUCUCCCUCGAGCUGCCCUUCGUCCUCGUCCCUCUCCUCAAGUUCAGCAGCAGCAGCAGCAGCACCAGCACCAAGAUGGGGCCUGACAAGAACUCCAUCUACAUAAUUGUGGUCUUAUGGGUCCUUGGCUUGGGUGUGAUUGGGAUGAAUGUCUACUACUUGAGCACGAGCUUUGUGACUUGGAUAAUCCACAGCAGCUUCCCGAAACCUGUGAUGGUCUUGAUUGGGGUCAUGGUCUUUCCUGUUAUGGCAUUUUAUGUGAUCUCUUUGAUCUACUUGAUGUUCAGGAAGGAAAGGAUGGUGACCUUCGACUAGAAGUUGGAGGUUUCGAUGGAGCAGGGAGGGCAAGGAGUCAGAGACGGAUGCAGAUAGGAUUGGCUCUACCUC